CAGGGGGACCGCAAAGGGCCUUUGCGCCGAUUAGGGAUUGAGCCGACGCCCGAUUUAGCCUAGUUGGUAGGGUAAAGGCCUACCAAGGCGACGAUCGGUAGCUGGUCUGAGAGGAUGAUCAGCCACACUGGGACUGAGACACGGCCCAGACUCCUACGGGAGGCAGCAGUGGGGAAUAUUGGACAAUGGGCGCAAGCCUGAUCCAGCAAUGCCGCGUGUGUGAAGAAGGCCUGCGGGUUGUAAAGCACUUUUGUUCGGGAAGAAAUCAUGCUGGUUAAUACCUGGUAUGGAUGACGGUACCGAAAGAAUAAGCACCGGCUAACUUCGUG
rnacentral:rRNA from 1 species